rnacentral:rRNA from 1 species
UACGUAGGGGGCAAGCGUUGUCCGGACUUACUGGGCGUAAAGCGUGUGCAGGCGGGUGGGGAUGUGCCGGGUGAAAGCUCCCAGCUUAUCUGGGAGAGGUCGCGGUAGACACGCUACCUGGAGGCUCGGAGAGGUCAGUGGAAUUCUCGGUGUAGUGGUGAAAUGCGUAGAUAUCGAGAGGAACACCAGUGGCGAAGGCGGCUCACUGGCCCGGUACUGACGCUGAGGUGCGAAAGCCAGGGGAGCAAACGGG